rnacentral:lncRNA from 13 species
GCCAUUCAAUAGUCAGGCUUGCUGUGCACGUCCAGAGCUUCAGGACAGCUAUUGGCCUGCAGCCCCUGAGUUUCAGCAGGGACGCAGUAUGAUUUCUAAGCAUUUCCCAUAUUCUGGUCUUCCUGUUGCUCUUGGGAGCCUCUAAGCAGAAGAGUGGAAGGGGGAGCGAUCCAAAGAUGACUUCUAUCCCUAGUCACUUACCCCUACUGACUCACUCAUCUCCUGCUGGGAUUCUAAAGCCAGGAUAAGUGGGUUGCGAUACAGGGAGCUAAGGAAGGAAGGAUUCCAGGUGAGGAGGACUGAAGGAACUGAAGGCUACCAGAGAAAACCAGAAAAUCAACCUGCUACACCAUAACCUCGUAUCUCGCUGGACUCUAAGGCAACUGAGUUGGAUCGAAAUAAACCUUUAUUUCCCUUAUAUUUAUUUAUAUUUAUUUAUUUCCCCUUUAUUUGCCAUCACUGCCACCCAUCUUCUCAAAACACACACACACACACACACACACACACACACACACGUGCACAUUCAUUGAAGACCAAGGCCCUGACUCAUAUCCUUUUUCUCCAUCUCUAAAUCUGCCAUUACUGCCCUUAGAUCUAAUCUACCAGGGUUCCCACCUGGGCCCCAUUUUUUAGAGGACCCUGCUCUUUAAGAGACAAGGAAUCUAAGGGGCCAAGGGAAGAAUCCCACAGAGAGCCCAUGCCCCUCUUUCAAGACUAUGUUUUGGGUAUCUGGGACCUUAAAAAUUUCCUGCCCACGUGGUCCUGAGCCCACUGCCAGGGCCUCCUCCACAGGUCUGUCCUCUAGAGGGUAGACAGCGCUACUGGUGUGUGCACUCCUAGGGGCAUCCAAGUAGCUACUUGUUGAAGAGGCGUAAGUGGAGCUUAGAUGUGCAAGCCCAUCCUGCCCUCCUUGUUCCACAUCUCAGAAUUGAUCAGGUGUAGAUGUGGGAAAAGAAGGUAGACACCUCCAUUUGUAUUCUUU